rnacentral:rRNA from 1 species
UGCGCAGGCGGUUUUGUAAGACAGUGGUGAAAUCCCCGGGCUCAACCUGGGAACUGCCAUUGUGACUGCAAGGCUAGAGUGCGGCAGAGGGGGAUGGAAUUCCGCGUGUAGCAGUGAAAUGCGUAGAUAUGCGGAGGAACACCGAUGGCGAAGGCAAUCCCCUGGGCCUGCACUGACGCUCAUGCACGAAAGCGUGGGAGCAAACA